rnacentral:sRNA from 2 species
UUCUAGCCGUGAUCGAAACGGCAUCCUUUUUCUUUUUUUUUAAAGAAAAAAGAAAAAGAUAUAGUGGAGAGCGCGACUGAUC